rnacentral:rRNA from 1 species
UUGAACGCUGGCGGCAGGCCUAACACAUGCAAGUCGAGCGGUAGCACAGAGAGCUUGCUCUCGGGUGACGAGCGGCGGACGGGUGAGUAAUGUCUGGGAAACUGCCUGAUGGAGGGGGAUAACUACUGGAAACGGUAGCUAAUACCGCAUAACGUCGCAAGACCAAAGUGGGGGACCUUCGGGCCUCAUGCCAUCAGAUGUGCCCAGAUGGGAUUAGCUAGUAGGUGGGGUAACGGCUCACCUAGGCGACGAUCCCUAGCUGGUCUGAGAGGAUGACCAGCCACACUGGAACUGAGACACGGUCCAGACUCCUACGGGAGGCAGCAGUGGGGAAUAUUGCACAAUGGGCGCAAGCCUGAUGCAGCCAUGCCGCGUGUGUGAAGAAGGCCUUCGGGUUGUAAAGCACUUUCAGCGGGGAGGAAGGCGGUGAGGUUAAUAACCUCAUCGAUUGACGUUACCCGCAGAAGAAGCACCGGCUAACUCCGUG